UUUAUUAUUGUACUGGUCAACACAUGUACAAAUACUGUGUAAAAAGCACCCCAAAACCCAGUGACUUAAAAUAAUCAUUUAUUCUCAUUCAUAUCUGCAGGUCAACUUAUGCUUGGCUCCUAGCCAAAGGUGUCUCAUUCUCUGGUCUUGGGGUUAGCUGGAGCUUGUUCUUCUCAGGAUGAUGGCAAGCCAGCCAGAGGGCUAUAGAACAGGAGAAUAUAGAAGUGUUAAAGUGUAAAAACAUGUCAUAUCUGCUAACUUUCCACUGGCUAAGCCUGUCGUUAAUGGCAUGGAGUAUAUUCCAGUCAUGGUAGGAGAGGAAGGGGAGUGAACAUUUCCUGAAUGAAAAUCAAACUUCACAGUCUGGUUUGGCAAACAAAUAUAAAAGCAGACUUCAAGGUGGCUUAAGGAAAUAAAAGUUUAUUUUCUACCUGUGCAGCAAUAUUCUAUGUUAAUUUUCUGAUCAGGGAGCUUCCUUCUUGGUGGCUCAGGCUUCCAGUCCCCUUCUCUCUUGUUACCAUGCGCUCCUAAGUCCUGGAAGUCCAUUCCAUCCAGCCAGUGUAUGAGGAAAGAGGAAAGGAUAAAGGACUGUUAGCAAGAGAUAUCACUUUCUAGUUCUUAUCUUCUUGAAAAGUAUUUCAGUCAAGAGGUUUAUAUAGAAAAACAAAAAUAUUAAGUAAAAUGGAAGUACAUGGAACAGGCCACCUCCAAGAGGUAAAUGUCCUGGGGUUUUCCAUGUGGCUGGUGUUUAUAUUGGUCUGGAAACCUCCCUUCUCAUAUAUUAUGUAUUUGGGGUGGUUACCAUGGUUUCUCACCAAGGCUUAGUGCCUUGGUGCUCUGAGCAGGCCUUAAAGUUGGAAACUCCCUUAGGGUGGUUAUAUCUUUUUCUUUUUAGUUUUUAGAAGGUAGUAUCUGGUGGUGAAGGAGGCUGGUUUAUGGGCAGGGUGGAAUGAUCUUUUGUCACUCAAGAUAAAAUUAGCCCUACUUUAUCUCCCUCCAUUCCCCUGCUCAUACCUAGCUACUUAUACUAAUAGGACUACUCUAGAUUUUUAAGGACCAGGCUUAGAAGUAGUCCCUAUUACUCUCUGUCCUUUUUUAUUUAUUUAUUUAUUUAUUUAUUUUUGGUCAGAAGUUGGUCUCAUGGUCUCAUAAAACUGUAAGGGAGGAUGGGAAAUGUAGACUAGCCAUACUCUGGAGAAAAAGAAAGCAGUGUUAGACCUGAAGCAGUCUCUGCUGCCUACCAUUAAAGAAUUUGCUAAACUUGAACAUAAAAAUAUCCAGAGAUUACUACUCUUUGGAAGGUUUCACUGGUACUUGAUUACUCUUCACAUGUAGUGAAUUCCUAGGUCCUUACUGAGUAUGGAAAAAUUCAAUCAUCCCAAUUUGGAUCCAUGGUGAACUUCAAUUCCAGUUUUCCUUUAUUUAGGAAACAAAGGAAUCUAAUCUCCUAAAUAUAGCUAUGGAGACAAACAUUUGGAGAAAGAGCAAGCAUGCAGAAUCCCCCCCCCCCAAAAAAAAGGAGUUCUUAGUGAACUUGCUGACAACCUGUAUUCUGUUCAGUGCAGCUCUGUGACCCAUCUCUAUAAAGUAGCUAGCCUUUUUGGCAUUCAUUGCUCAAGAACAAUGACAGAUCUGUUAGUUUCAUCUAAUCCUAUGGGAAGUGACUUUAAAAUAUCUAGAUUCUUUGACACUUCUCCUAUCAUUUCUUAAGUAUAGCUUGGCCAUGGUGACUUUCUUCUAAGGAAGAAAAUGUGGCAGAAAUGAUGCUUUAUGAAAUUAAAAGGAUAUGAACAGGAAAAUAAGAGCUCAUAUUAUCUGUUUGUCAUGAUAUGAACCUAUAGAAGACCAAAAACUCUAGAAAACUUCUAGAGCUCAUAAGUAAUUCAGCAAAAUAGCAGGAUACAAAAUCCACACCCAUAAAUCAAUUGCAUUCCUAUACUUCAAUGAUUAAUCUUUU
rnacentral:lncRNA from 1 species